ACUGUUUUGUUCACAUCCACAUCGGUGUUUGUAUAUAUGUGCGUUAGUGACUCGUAACGCUGUAGCUCGUCCACAUGGGGUCAUUGUUCUAUAUUUAUAUGGGUAGGAACCUUACAGAUGAUAUGUUUCCGGGGAAAGGCGCACACGAUUUGUUUGCUAUAGAUAUCAGUUACGUUUUACAGUGUUUUCAUCGAUUUUCCCAGCAGAAAAAAUGUGAAGAUGGAUGAGCUGGCAGAAUAUUUGAGAUCCAGGCAUGUGGAUGAAGAGGCUAUACAACGAAUGGAACAAGACAAGAUUGAUCCCACUGUAAUAAAGCUGAUGAGUGAUGAGGAACUGAAGGACUAUCUACCAUCAUACGGUGAUCGAAUAGCUGUAUUUGGAC